AGAUACACAGAGAGAGAUAUCGUGGUCAGCAGCUAAUAGCCAAUUACGCUAAUAUAAUAUGGGUUCUGACAAGAAUAUAGCUUUUUUCUAUAAAGGGAAAAUGUCCGCCCCCUUUUUCCAAAAACACAUUUUCAACAUCCAAAAAACUAGUAUAUAUAUAUAUAUAUUGUAUAUAUAACGAAGAUUGAAGAAUAAAAUAAAGAAAAAAGAAUAGAAAAAUACAAAAACAAUAAAACCAAAAAAUAAAAAAUAAAAAAAAUAAAAAUAAAAAAAGUACACCCCACCUUCAAUUUUCCGCCGCCCACCUCCGGUACCACUCUAAACACCCCGCAUUAGCCACGCUUGCUCCAGUUUUAAUAUUUAACCCACAAAGAAUUUGUUUCACCGCAUUCUCAACCUUCUUGCCAUUCGUCGUGACUGGAAUCUCCGGACACGCGACUAUGAUCGUCGGGACAUGGCGCGCGCUGAGUUCCUUGCGAAUGGUAGCCUGUAUGCGGCUGACAAGAUCGGGCGGCAUGAGCAACGCGUCAUUGUCGUUGACGGUGGUAAUCAGGUCCUUUACGCAGCCGUUGUUGGCUAUUGACACCGUUGACGAGGACGCGGAUGUGGACGCGGAUAUGGAUGAGGAAACAGAUGCAGAGGUAGACGCAGAUGC
rnacentral:sRNA from 2 species